AGCCUGAACGCUGGCGGCGUGGCUAAGACAUGCAAGUCGUACGGAGGUAGCAAUACCUCAGUGGCGAACGGGUGAGUAAUGAAUCGCUAACGUGCCCUGGACUUCGGGAUAGCUAUCCGAAAGGGUAGGUAAUACCGGGUGAUAUACCCUUUCCGCAUGGAAGGGGUCUCAAAGGUCCGCCGGUCUUCGGUGGAUGGUCUGGGAGCGGGCGAUUUCGUAUCAGCUAGUUGGUGGGGUAACGGCCCACCAAGGCGACGACGCGUAGCCGGACUGAGAGGUUGGCCGGCCACAUUGGGACUGAGACACUGCCCAGACUCCUACGGGGGCUGCAGUAACGAAUCUUCCGCAAUGCACGAAAGUGUGACGGAGCGACGCCGCGUGGAGGACGAAGUUCUUCGGAAUGUAAACUCCUGUCAGGGGAAAGAAAGUUCUGAUCUACCCCAGAGGAAGAGGCGGCUAACUCUGCGCCAGCAGCCGC
rnacentral:rRNA from 1 species